GACGAACGCUGGCGGCGUGCUUAACACAUGCAAGUCGAACGGAAAGGCCCUGCUUUUGUGGGGUGCUCGAGUGGCGAACGGGUGAGUAACACGUGAGUAACCUGCCCUUGACUUUGGGAUAACUUCAGGAAACUGGGGCUAAUACCGGAUAGGAGCUCCUGCUGCAUGGUGGGGGUUGGAAAGUUUCGGCGGUUGGGGAUGGACUCGCGGCUUAUCAGCUUGUUGGUGGGGUAGUGGCUUACCAAGGCUUUGACGGGUAGCCGGCCUGAGAGGGUGACCGGCCACAUUGGGACUGAGAUACGGCCCAGACUCCUACGGGAGGCAGCAGUGGGGAAUAUUGCACAAUGGGCGGAAGCCUGAUGCAGCAACGCCGCGUGCGGGAUGACGGCCUUCGGGUUGUAAACCGCUUUCGCCUGUGACGAAGCGUGAGUGACGGUAAUGGGUAAAGAAGCACCGGCUAACUACGUGCCAGCAGCCGCGGUGAUACGUAGGGUGCGAGCGUUGUCCGGAUUUAUUGGGCGUAAAGGGCUCGUAGGUGGUUGAUCGCGUCGGAAGUGUAAUCUUGGGGCUUAACCCUGAGCGUGCUUUCGAUACGGGUUGACUUGAGGAAGGUAGGGGAGAAUGGAAUUCCUGGUGGAGCGGUGGAAUGCGCAGAUAUCAGGAGGAACACCAGUGGCGAAGGCGGUUCUCUGGGCCUUUCCUGACGCUGAGGAGCGAAAGCGUGGGGAGCGAACAGGCUUAGAUACCCUGGUAGUCCACGCUGUAAACGGUGGGUACUAGGUGUGGGGUCCAUUCCACGGGUUCCGUGCCGUAGCUAACGCUUUAGGUACCCCGCCUGGGGAGUACGGCCGCAAGGCUAAAACUCAAAGGAAUUGACGGGGCCCCGCACAAGCGGCGGAGCAUGCGGAUUAAUUCGAUGCAACGCGUAGAACCUUACCUGGGUUUGACAUGGAUCGGGAGUGCUCAGAGAUGGGUGUGCCUCUUUUGGGGUCGGUUCACAGGUGGUGCAUGGCUGUCGUCAGCUCGUGUCGUGAGAUGUUGGGUUAAGUCCCGCAACGAGCGCAACCCUUGUUCACUGUUGCCAGCACGUUAUGGUGGGGACUCAGUGGAGACCGCCGGGGUCAACUCGGAGGAAGGUGGGGAUGACGUCAAGUCAUCAAGCCCCUUAUGUCCAGGGCUUCACGCAUGCUACAAUGGCUGGUACAGAGAGUGGCGAGCCUGUGAGGGUGAGCGAAUCUCGGAAAGCCGGUCUCAGUUCGGAUUGGGGUCUGCAACUCGACCUCAUGAAGUCGGAGUCGCUAGUAAUCGCAGAUCAGCAACGCUGCGGUGAAUACGUUCCCGGG
rnacentral:rRNA from 1 species